UACGAAGGGGGCGAGCGUUGUUCGGAAUCACUGGGCGUAAAGGGCGCGUAGGCGGCCCUUCUUGUCGCGUGUGAAAGCCCCGGGCUCAACCUGGGAACGGCGCGCGAGACGGGGGGGCUGGAGUUCGGGAGAGGAGCGUGGAAUUCCCAGUGUAGAGGUGAAAUUCGUAGAUAUUGGGAAGAACACCAGUGGCGAAGGCGGCUCACUGGCCCGGAACUGACGCUGAGACGCGAAAGCGUGGGGAGCAAACAGG
rnacentral:rRNA from 1 species